rnacentral:rRNA from 1 species
UACGAAGGAUCCAAGCGUUAUCCGGAUUUAUUGGGUUUAAAGGGUGCGUAGGCGGGCUAUUAAGUCAGUGGUGAAAGCCCCAAGCUUAACUUGGGAAUUGCCAUUGAUACUGAUUGUCUUGAGUACACUUGAAGUGGGCGGAAUGUGUCAUGUAGCGGUGAAAUGCUUAGAUAUGACACAGAACACCGAUUGCGAAGGCAGCUCACUAAAUUGUAACUGACGCUGAGGCACGAAAGCGUGGGGAUCAAACAGG